AUUCUACUCCCUCCGUUGCACAAUACAUGCCUUCUAUUUGUCAAAAUAUAUAUGUAUCUAGACAUGUUUUAGUAUAUAGGUACAUCCAUUUUUGGACAAAUGGAAGUCAAGUAUUUUGGAACGAAGAGAGUACACA
rnacentral:pre_miRNA from 1 species